ACGAACGCUGGCGGCGUGCUUAACACCUGCAAGUCGAACGGAAAGGCCCUGCUUUUGUGGGGUGCUCGAGUGGCGAACGGGUGAGUAACACGUGAGUAACCUGCCCUUGACUUUGGGAUAACUUCAGGAAACUGGGGCUAAUACCGGAUAGGAGCUCCUGCUGCAUGGUGGGGGUUGGAAAGUUUCGGCGGUUGGGGAUGGACUCGCGGCUUAUCAGCUUGUUGGUGGGGUAGUGGCUUACCAAGGCUUUGACGGGUAGCCGGCCUGAGAGGGUGACCGGCCACAUUGGGACUGAGAUACGGCCCAGACUCCUACGGGAGGCAGCAGUGGGGAAUAUUGCACAAUGGGCGGAAGCCUGAUGCAGCAACGCCGCGUGCGGGAGGACGGCCUUCGGGUUGUAAACCGCUUUCGCCUGUGACGAAGCGUGAGUGACGGUAAUGGGUAAAGAAGCACCGGCUAACUACGU
rnacentral:rRNA from 1 species